rnacentral:rRNA from 1 species
UACGUAGGGUGCGAGCGUUAAUCGGAUUUACUGGGCGUAAAGCGCGCGUAGGUGGUUCGUUAAGUUGGAUGUGAAAUCCCCGGGCUCAACCUGGGAAUGGCAUUUUGAACUGGCAGGCUCGAGUUCUGAAGAGGGUGGUAGAAUUUCCAGUGUAGCGGUGAAAUGCGUAGAUAUUGGAAGGAAUACCGGUGGCGAAGGCGGCCACCCGGUCAGAAACUGACGCUGAGGUACGAAAGCGUGGGGAGCAAACAGG